GAUCUCCCUGUCUCUGUGGUACUUGAGGUAAUCCGAAAAUGUGCAUUUCGGGGGCCGAUGUCUGCAGCGGUGGCGUGAGCUCCAAUCACCUCUCUGACUACACCAAAGACACCCGAGAUAAUCUUGAUGUUGUGCAACAUGUGCUGAAGGCAGGUGACAGCAUGGCAGGAACCCUCGACAUGGGCAAUUUCCCAGUCGCAAAUGUGCCCCCCGCCCCCGCCACGGCGGCACACCAAAGGCUACAUGGACUCCUUUGCUCAGGGCAUGGUAGCCCUGGUGGAAAGUAAGACCUUGCGGCUUGAUGGCACCCCACGCAGGACAUCAGCCGGGGUGAACGACAAAAUUAUGCAGCUGGCAAACACUACCGUAGCCCAGGAAGCAGUGACCGACGACGACGUGGAUACAACAGCCUUAUUAAAAGGCGCACUCAAAUCGUGCUCCUAAGAUGCUGCUUGCUGCAGUGUUCAUCCAGCUCCACACUUUGCUAUCUCAAAUCGGUUAGUGGGACACUUCCAAUGAACGUUCACGUAGACAUUACGCUAGUUACGUUUCCACCCGGUAAAACCAUCAAAAAAAGGAAAAAUUCUUGUCCUUGAAAUCUGGGUUGAACACACGAGCGUAAAAUGAAUGGUUUGCGAUAUCUGGCGGAACAUCUAACCUUAACUGGGGUGGCUUCCACAAGUUUACACGCAACGAUGGCACUUCGCUGCUGAUCUACUACACGACGUAUCCUUCCUCCGGAGGGACAAGAAAUUAUUUCGUCCAGCACAUUGAGCUACCAUAAGUUGAACCCAAGGGUAUUUAGGAUAUACUGGCCUCGCCAGAACGGGUUAAACAAUGGCCGAUAAGCACCUUUACUUCCGCCUGUGGUCAUUCCUUCGCGGGAAAGUUUCUGAAAAAGGGUCUAGGCCCGAAACAUCAGCCUGCCUGCUCCGUUCAUCCAGCUUUGCACCUUGUUAUCUAGUGCUAGUGCACACCCCAGUAUAAAGACACAAGAUUCUGGUGGGUCUGUGGCUACCGCAGCCAGGGUUGUACAAAAGGAAUUCUCCAGCAUCUGCAGUUCCCAUUAUCUCUGAUACUAUUUUAACCUCACUGCGAAGCCUCUUCCAGGGAUGCCUAACCUGAAGAAGUUACCCUCCUCCCUCCGGACCAACCUCAGGGAAUCUCUCUCCCAUUGCAACUCUCUUGUCUCCAUCUUCGGUCCGCCUCCCCCUCUCUCCCUAUUUAUUCCAGUUCCCUCUCCCCAUCCCCCUCUCUGAUGAAGGGUCUAGGCCCGAAACGUCAGCUUUUGUGCUCCUGAGAUGCUGCUUGGCCUGCUGUGUUCAUCCAGCCUCACAUUUUAUGUUGUACAAAGUUCCUCGUGGUUGGCAAACGCAUCGGUAAUGUAGCCCUCUCCCUCUCCACUAAGACUCCCGGAACAAUAUUCCGACCGCAUACGCUGGCUACCCCAGAGUCUGACUACCGCGGCAUGUUCCGGUAGAUUAAGAAUUGGGAAUUGUGUUUCUACCCUGGGAGGCGCGGCGGGCUAAAUUAGCUGGUCUCUUCGGCAAUGACUUCUGUUGCUACUGAAUAUAUUUUUGUUUUACAUAAUGAAGGAAAACGUAUAUGAAAUUUCACAAACAGGUAGCAAAGUAAUGCAAAUUUCAGACAACGACUGGCUCUACCUAUUAUGCUGUUAUUUGUUAGUAACUAGACAUUGGUACACCACUAUUGUACAGCUUGUAUGAAACAGUGCGGGAAAGACACAAUGUUCAAAACCAUGGGGGGCAAGUAGAAAGAAAUCACUCCCAUUAGCAGAAGGAUCAAGAACCAGAGGAUAAUGAUUUAGUGAGAGGGUGGGGACAACAAGGUGUAGAGCUGGAUGAACAAGGGCAAGGCAGCAUCAGAGGAGCAGGAAGGCUGACGCUUCGAGUCUGGACCCUUCUUCAGGAACGGGGCACAAAGCCAAAGUUGCUGACAAAGCUCAGCAGGUCUGGCAGCAUCUGUGGAGGAGGAGACAGGGUUAACGUUUCGGGUCCAGUGACCCUUCCUCAGAACUGGGGUGUUGGGGUUUUAGGUGGCGGUGGAGGGGAGAGGGUGUAGUUAGGGACCAUGCUGAGGGUUUAUGGAGAUGGGGGAAGGCGGUAUGGUGGAGACAAGUGGGGAGCUGGAGCUCCUCUGCUGCUGCCCGGCCUGCUGUGUUGUCUCAGACUCCAGCAUCGGCAGUUCUUGCCACAACGGAGUGAGGGGUUUGGUGCAGUGUUUUAGAUAACGGAAGGGAGGAGGAAGGGUGAAGGUAGACGAGGAGUAUGUUCCCGCUUUCCCCCCCCUCCUGUGUUUUACUCACUCAGCGCCGCCAUCUUGUUCCGCUCGCACUCACCGGAAGAGGCUGUCACUAGGUCCCGCCCUCGCCGCACGCCAAUUGGCUGUUUCGCAGCGGCGCCUUCAAGAGGACAGCGCAGUCCUCCCGUCGAUUGGUCCAAGCUCCUGUCAAUCACUUCACGCCAGCGGCCGGGUCGACGCCUGCGUCGCUCUUCUCCUGUAAACUUAAAGACAAUUAAAGAAACACGUUGGACGUGGACAACUCUAUAUAGAAUAUAACGCAGAGCGGGCUAUUCGACCCAACGAGGCUUUUCUUAGUGGCAUAGAGCACUACUGUAGCAGCAUGGAUCAUCCAUGGAUGAUUAUUGACUUUAAGGUAUCUUGUUACAAGAUAUGGUGAAAAGUGUAUCAGAGAUAACAGGAACUGCAGAUGCUGGAGAAUCCGAGAUAACAAGGUGUGGAGCCGGAUGAACGCAGCAGGCCAAGCAGCAUCAGAGGAGCAGAAAAGCUGACGUUUUGGGCCUAGACACUUCAUCAGAAAAGUUAUGGUGAAAAGUGUAUAUGAUACCAUCUUAAAACACAAAAAUAAAUCAGAACCUAGGAUAUAAAAGGCAGAAAAACAAAGAAAUGAAGAAGGUAUCCAAUGUUAUAAUCCUUCUCAUUAAAUGGUCCACCCUGGGCCAGAAACAAUAGACAAUAGGUUCAGGAGUAGGCCAUUCGGCCCUUCAAGCCAGCACCACCAUUCAUUGUGAUCAUGGCUGAUCAUCCACAAUCAGUAUCCUGUUCCUGCCUUAUCCCCAUAACCCCUUUGCUACAUGUCCCCUUUGCUAUGUAACUGCCAUAGGAACAAGAGCUGCCACUCUUUACCACCCUCUCACCUUCAGUGGUGCCCUUGCCAAUAUGGGUCCUUGCUGGACCUUGCCAUCGCAGAAGCUGCUAGUGCUGCCAGGUCUUGUGCCAGGCCCAAACCUGACUCUGCUGCCAACUCCAUGAAUCUGCACUGGAUGCCACUGGGAAUCCAUACUCACCUCCGCUGCAGCAGCUAUGAGUCGGCACUAGGUCCAGCCCAUCGAUGCAGAAACCGCCGCCAACCCAAACUCUCGCAAUGCUGCCGCCAUGAGUCUGCGCUGCCGGGCGCACUCGUUGCUGCUCAAGCUGCAACUGAGCUCUUCGCCAAGAGAUAAGUAAAAUAAAAGAGGGGGAAAAAAGGUGAGAGAAGGACAAGAGGGGGAAAGAAAAGAGCUUAUUGAUAUGUGUAAAGGGAACAAUCUCUCCCUCAAUGUCAGCGAAACGAAUGAGCGGUCAUCAACUUCAGGAAAAAGUGUGGCAGACAUGCCCCUCCCUGUGUCAAUGGUGCUAAACCGGAGAUGGUCGAGAGCUUCAAGUUCCUAUGCUGGUCCACCCACAUUGGCACUACAGUCAAGAAAACACUCGCUGGCCUCUACUUCCUCAGAAGUCUAAGGAAAUUGUGCACAUGGUGAAUGACUCUCACCAAUUUUGACAGAUAUCUGGAUCUAUCACAACUUGGUAUGGCAACUGGUCUGCCCAAGCCCACAAGAAAUUACAGGGAGUUGCAAACACAGCCCAGUCCAUCAUGCACACUAACCUUCCAUCCAUUGACUCUCUCUACAUUUUCUGCUGCCUCAGGAAAGCAAUCAACAUAGUCAAAGACCCACCCCGACACCGCCCCCCCCACCCCCAAACCCCGGUUAUACUCUCUUCCACCCUCUUCUGUUGGGCAGAAGAUACAAAAGUUUGAAAACACGUACCAACAGAUUCAAGAACAGCUCCUUCCCCACUGUUAUUAGUCUUAUGAAUGGACAUCUCAUAUUAGAGUUGAUGUUUCUCUGGACCUUCUCUGUAGCUGUAACAGUACAUUUCUGCAUUCUGUUCUGUUACCCUGAGGUAUUUCUGUAAGGUAUUAUUUGUCAUGUUAGCAAAACAAUACUUUUUAUUGUAUCUCAGUACACGUGACAAUAAUAAAUCAAAUCAGAUAACAUAGAAACAUAGAAGUUAGGAGGAGGAGGUCAGUUGGCCCUUCGAGCCUGGUCUGCCAUUCAUCAUGAUCCUGACUGAACAACUCAAUAGCUAUUUCUGCUUUCUCCCCAUAACCUUCGAUCACAUUCAACCCAAGUACUAUAUCUAGCCACCUCUUGAAUACAUUCAGUGUUUUGGCAUCAGCUACUUCCUGUGGUAAGGAAUUCCAUAGGCUCACCGCUCUUUGGGUGAAGAAAUGUUUCCUCGUCUCCGUCCUAAAUGGUCCACCCUAGAUCCUCACACUGUGACCCCUGGUUCUGGACAC